rnacentral:rRNA from 1 species
AUGCGACAGGGGCAGCAAUCAAUGGCGCUUGCAGCGAUCGCCCUCUCCCUCGUCCUCGUCGCCGCGGCGCCGGCCGUCGGCACGUCUAGUGAGGAGCUUGCCGCAGUGCUCCAGUGCCACCCGGCGCCGGCGCUCACGGACGCCACCGACGGCACGGCUUUCCGGGCCAGCCUCCUCCUGCUCCUCAGCGCUCUCCCCUCCGCCGCCGCGCCAAUGGGCUUCGCCUCCCUGCACUCCGACGGCGCGUUCGCCCGGGGGGUCUGCUUCGGCGACCCCACCACGCUGCCUUCAGGCUCCGAGUGCGCCCGGUGCCUGUUUGACGCCGCCAGGAACCUCACCGCCGGAUGCGGUGCCACCAGCCGUCGAGCCGGCAUCUUGAGCCAGCGCUGCUCGCUCUGGUACGCCGACACCAACUUUUCCUCGCCCGGCCAGGACGCGUUCCGAGCGCGCUUCCACCUCGCGCUCCCGAGCGACGCCGCCGCCCCUGCUUCUGACUCUGAGACCAGCGCCGGGGUCCUCUACUCCCCCGGCCUGCACGACGAGCUCGUCGCCAUGGCGCAGCUCAUGGUGCAGCGCGCGGCCGGAAGGCUCUCCAGGCCGGCGAUGCCGGCCACCAUGCGCGUGGUUCACAAAACCAUCGUGGAGAGAGGCUGCGGCUGCGACUACGCCAUCGUGAGCAGCACGGUCUACGUGCGGGCUCAGUGCGCCCGCGACCUCACGGCGGCGGACUGCGCCCGGUGUCUUCAGGACUCGGCGCAGGCCAUGGACUGGGACCUGGAUGCUGCCCGCGGCGACGGUGGCGCGGCGGCCGCGGUGGUGGGCUUCAACUGCCACGUUCGGUUCGAGGUCUCCACCGCACUGGCGCCGCGCAGCGACCAGAGCGACGACCAGAGCGACCACAGCGGCAUUCUCCGUGUAGGGCUUUUGGCUUUGAUCAUAGCGAACUUCAUUCUGACAGUAGCCAACUACCGCACUUCUCGCCGGUGA